AAAAUAUAAUUUUAAUUGCUUUUUGCAUUAUUUUUGUAUUGUAUUUAUAAUAUUUUCAAUUUGCACAUCUGUCAUUUUCUUCAGGAUCAAGGCUUGCAAGACAUUCUCUUCCAAACCUAGCUCCUGAGAUAUAUAACAAAUGUAAAAAUUAUUGAUUUUUUUGUUUAGGACAUUUAUAAAGAAAAAAAACUUGUUAAUCAUGCAUUUAUAGUAAAUACAUUUAUAAUAAACUUUCAUUAUACACUUGGAAGAAAAGGGUAAAAUAGAAUCAAAUAUACAUUGUCAUCUAUAUCAACAAAACUUACACAUACAUACAUAUAUCAUAUAUUAACUCACAUGCAUUCAAUUGCUUUCAGAUAUAUCUAGUAUUACGCAUACCACCAUACAUUUAAAUGCUUUUUAUUUAGAUUUAUUUUCUUUGUAUAUGUCUGUAUCUAUUUUAAUUGAGAAUAUUUGUUAGGAUUCAUUUAUUAUUCCUUCCAUUGCUAAUAAUACUAUUUUGUCUUCUAUGUUAAAUUUGUGAAUUUCAUUUUUUACUGAAGAACAAGGGUCAUGAUGAAUCUUAAGUGUAUCCAACUGUCUGAUCAUCACUAUCAUCAUCAUCAUCAUCAUCAUCUUCGAGAUUUAUUUUGGAGCUUGUAUAUUUGACUACCUUUUCUUAACAUUCCUGACAUUUGAAACAGAUAUUUCCUAUUCACAAAAUAUUUCCUUAAACAAUAGAUUUGUAAGUAUUUAUUGAAAAAGUACCCAUCCCCUUACUCCACUCAAGGCACUCAUGGAUCUGAUGAUACUAAACUAAGUAGCUUCCCAGGCAUGUCACAUUUAGCAAGUGUAUAGCAAAAUAGAUUUAUUUUACAUAUUGUUAUUGACCUGUAGAGAUAGCAGGUAUCACUAGAACAUUACAUACUGUUGAGGGGAAGAGUAAGGGAACUUUCCUACCUAACAUUGAUAUCCUUCCCUGUUUUACUGAAGUAAAUUUUGCAUUAAGACAUUUAGCAGUUUUUGUUUUGUUAUAAACCUGAAGCAUGUCUCUUAUACGCAGUCUUCUACAUCAUCCCCUAUAAAUGUGUAACUGUGUUGCCAAAUCUGCAAUCAAAUCUGAAUACAGUGAAGUUAUUCCAAUAAUCUUUCACUUACUACGAUUGGAUUGUGGAUUUUAUGUUGCAUUUCCUUUUCCUCUCAUUUUUCUCUGAAAUUAAAUACUCUAGGAAAGUGUGUACUUUUAAUAAUAAUGAUUAUAAUAAUAAUUUUGCAUCUUUUAUCAUGCAACAUUGUAUGCCUAUGGUUGUAAUGUAAACAGUUCUGAAUGAUAAUCUAUUAUAAAUUCCAACUAAACAAUCCUUUUGUAUCAAAAUUUUAUGCAAUAGAGACCGGUUUUCAAUUUGAUAUCUAUUCAUCAGAUUUACCUCCCUUGAAUUAUAAUGUCCUGUUCUAAUAAAUUCAUUCAAGAAAUUUUUUUCAACCUAAAUAAAACUAUGUAGCAAAAAAUCUAACUGAAUUUAGUAUUAGUACAAUGAAAUUUUCAAUUUCAAUUUUAUUGUAAUUAACAAAAUAUCUUCGCAAACUGAAUAUUUUAUUUUGUCCUUUCCUCCAUUCAUAAGUGCAUUCAUAUAUAUGAAUACAUCUGCAUACAUAAACUACUUAUUUUUAACUUGUGGCCAUACUUGGUUUUGUAAUUUUAUUAUUUUGUCCAUAUAUAAAAUGUUUGCUUUUCUGAAAAGUGGAAAGGAAUAAAAAUUAUUUGUAUAUGUUUGGCUAUUUUCUCCUUUUCUUUCAUAUAUUUAGAUUUGAUAUAUUUUUGUUAAAUUAAAUUCAAUCUAUCUAAUAAACCUACAAACAGGAGCAAUCUUCGAGUUUGCUCUAUAAAGAUGUAAAAUAUUUACAAAACAAUCUAGAACCUUUAUUCUACCAUCUCUACUAUGUACUUUAAGUCUAAGCCUGUUUUCUUUUGAACUAUAGCAAAACGAGUUCUAUGCAACCUUUCAUUUUCAAGAAUUAUAUAGAUAAAACAUUAAACAAAAUAUUAUCUAUGUUUCUAAAGAUAAAAAGAAAUGUAUUCUUCCCGCAUGAAUAGUAUUUUGUAUCAAUUUCCACUAGAUAUCUUUAGAAAUUAGAACAAUAUAUUUUGCGAGGAGUUAAAAAAGUUAUUUCUCUUGAUUUUAAUUCAUAUUUUCUUAAUUGAAAAUGUGUGUUAAUAGCCUAAUCUUAAAUACUGUCUAUUUUGGUUUUCUUAAAGAAACAGUUAUAUAUGUUGAAAUCCAAACAUAAACUGCUUUGUUAUUCAUUUGUGUUUGAUUGUUAAAAAAAACUUUAGAAAAGGGCUUGAUUUGCUUACUUCACUUACCUAUUAAUACAAUAAUACAUUUAAUGAUAUUGAUAACCCCAUAGAAAUCCUCAAAAAUCCACCUCCAAAAAAUAACACUCCACACAAAAAUCUUAUAAAUAAAAUAUAGAAAUAUUUUAUUUAUAAGAGAAGUAACUCAAAUAGUAAAAACUAUUUGGUUGUUAUGAUAGUGGUGGUGGCAGAGGCAGUAAUGAUGAUAUUGGUGCUGAUGAUGCUAAAUUGAGAAAGAUAUACAGCAAAAGAAGAAAAAGAGAGAGUAAAAGUUAUAGAAAAUGGAAAUAAGAUCUGCUAAUGGUAAAUGAUGCUAGUAGCAGUAGCAGUGAGGUUUAUAUUGAAACUUUAGAAAAUAGGGGUGAAGCAAGUGAGAGAGAAAGCUCUCUCAGUGUUGUAAUGA